AUCCCAGAUAAGGCUCUUUGUAUUUAUCUGAUUCAUGGGAGGCAAAUACUGACAGUGGAAGUUUUGCUGUCAGCGCUCUUUUAACCUUGCAGGAUGUGUUUUACUAGUAUCUUCCUAAGGUAU